rnacentral:rRNA from 1 species
GAUAAUACACGAAAAACCUUACCAAGAUUUGACAUCCCCCGCGAAGCUUUAGAAAUAAAGUAGAGGUUAUCGGGGUGACAGGUGGUGCAUGGUUGUCGUCAGCUCGUGUCAUGAGAUGUUUGGUUAAGUCCCGCAACGAGCGCAACCCUACUCUCUAGUUAAUCAAUUUAGAGAGACUGAACAGUAAUGUAUAGGAAGGUUGGGAUCACGUCAAAUCAUCAUGCCCCUUAUGUCUUGGGCCGCAAACGUGUUACAAUGGCGAGUACAGCGUGUCGCAAACCAGCGAUGGCAAGCUAAUCACUAAAAACUCGUCUCAGUCCGGAUAAAAGGCUGCAAUUCGCCUUUUUGAAGUUGGAAU